rnacentral:tRNA from 2 species
GGAGACGUGGCCGAGUGGUCGAAGGCACGCCCCUGCUAAGGGCGCAUCUGGGCAAAACCCGGAUCCAGGGUUCGAAUCCCUGCGUCUCCGCCA